CUUGGUCAUUUAGAGGAAGUAAAAGUCGUAACAAGGUUUCCGUAGGUGAACCUGCGGAAGGAUCAUUAUCGAACACACGAAGGGAACUGUCGCUGGCUUCGGCAUGUGCACGUUCUUUUCUCUCACUCACACUUGUGCACCAUCUGUAGGCCCUUGAAAGAGGACCUAUGUUUUCCAUUCACACCGAUCGCAUGUCCAUAGAAUGUCAUAAUGAAAUACAACUUUCAGCAACGGAUCUCUUGGCUCUCGCAUCGAUGAAGAACGCAGCGAAUUGCGAUAAGUAAUGUGAAUUGCAGAUUUCCAGUGAAUCAUCGAAUCUUUGAACGCACCUUGCGCUCCUUGGCAUUCCGAGGAGCAUGCCUGUUUGAGUGUCAUUGAAUUCUCAACCAUGUCUUGGAGACAUUACAUGGCUUGGAUGUUGGGGGGGUUUGCUGGCAUUCCCAAGAUUGUCAGCUCUCCUGAAAUGCAUUAGCAAAAUGGCAGACAUACACGGCCUUCCGACGUGAUAAUGAUCGUCGUGGCUGGAGUGUCAGACGCCCAUGUUGCUUCCAAUUGAGCGUGUUUAGCUACUAGUCGGUCGUGAGGCUGGCGAACGCGGCACGACGUUGACAACUUGACCUCAAAUCAGGUAGGACUACCCGCUGAACUUAAGCAUAUCAAUAAGCGGAGGAAAAGAAACUAACAAGGAUUCCCCUAGUAACUGCGAGUGAAGCGGGAAGAGCUCAAAUUUUGAAUCUGGCGGUCUUCGGCCGUCCGAGUUGUAAUCUAGAGAAGCGUCUUCCGCGCUGGAGCCGUGUACAAGUCUCCUGGAAGGGAGCGUCACAGAGGGUGAGAAUCCCGUCUUUGACACGGACCGCCAGUGCUAUGUGAUGCGCUCUCGACGAGUCGAGUUGUUUGGGAAUGCAGCUCAAAAUGGGUGGUAAAUUCCAUCUAAAGCUAAAUACAGGCGAGAGACCGAUAGCGAACAAGUACCGUGAGGGAAAGAUGAAAAGAACUUUGGAAAGAGAGUUAAACAGUACGUGAAAUUGCUGAAAGGGAAACGCUUGAAGU
rnacentral:rRNA from 1 species